AUGGCUGGGGUUUGGUCAUCCAAGAUGAAAGAAAUGCUUUUGCUUCAGAGGAAUAUAAUUGCUUAUUGGAAAGCCCAGUUCUCCAGGAGGAAAGAACAGCCACCUAGCAUCAGUAGAAACAUUAAGAACAGAAAUAAGGAAGAUGUGCUAGUAUUUGAAAACACAAAAGAAAAUACGCUUCUGUCUGAAGUGAGGUCUCUGGAAGGACAGAGUGGGUUGGAUUUCAAAGAUCUACAACAGAGAAUGAAGUGCAUAAUACAGACUGAAAAAGGAGUUUUCCUGAAAGCGUACAGUCAUUUGUGAUGUUGAAGUGGCUAAAAGCAGAAUGACUUUGCAUCUGAGAAGUCAGAAUGUCUUAAUGCUUCUGAGCAGGAUCCAGGGUAAGUGAAAUACGCUAUGUGGGACUGAUGUUUU
rnacentral:lncRNA from 1 species